CGAGUGGCGAACGGGUGAGUAAUAUAUCGGAACGUGCCUAGUAAUGGGGAACAACUAAUCGAAAGGUUAGCUAAUACCGCAUACGACCUACGGGUGAAAGCAGGGGAUCUUCGGACCUUGCGUUAUUGGAGCGGCCGAUAUCUGAUUAGCUUGUUGGUAGGGUAAAAGCCUACCAAGGCGACAAUCAAUAGCUGAUUUGAGAGGAUGAUCAGCCACACUGGGACUGAGAUACGGCCCAGACUCC
rnacentral:rRNA from 1 species